GUGAUUUACAGACAAACUGUGUAAUUAAUUUUUAUUUUCAUCUAUAUUUAAUUUUCUAUGCAUGUGCCGCAAGAUUCGAUGUGACGAGGAAUUUUGAAAUGUUUUGGAUUUUGGGGGUGAACUAAACAAGGCCUAACUGUAUUAACGCUGAAACAAAGAAGUCACGUUUCGUUUACCUAAAGUCCUAAGCCAAAGGCUACAUGAAAUGAAAGUGGUGAAUGGUACCCCUCAGCGUUUCCGCGGAGUCUAGGGUGACUAACACGAGACCGGGCAAUGCGCGCGGGGCUGCGCAGGGGCACUUACGCGGAGUACGUUGCUCUUUUUUUUCUUUCUUUCUUUUUAGCACAAGAUGGAUACCCUGUUUUUCUUGAAAGGUCUAAAAGCCUCUGCAAACUUGGCUUACCAAACUGGAUAGGAGACGGCGCAAAAGGCUAGUUUCUGGCACAACAAUUGGCUUGAGGGAGAAGCACCUAAGUAUUUGGCCCCAAAUCUCUUCCAAUUAGCCAACAGGAAGAAUAGAACAGUCCAACAGGAACUCUGUAACGACAAUUGGAUACGCUCCCUAGGCCAUCGCAUCACCACUGCCACCCACGUUGAGGAAUUUGUCUCCCUCUGGAUCAGAAUCCAGGAUGUUCAUCUCACCCA
rnacentral:lncRNA from 1 species